rnacentral:rRNA from 1 species
GAGAGAAAGGUGAGAAUCCUUUCGGCCGAAUAUCCAAGGUUUCCAGGGUAAAGCUGAUCUGCCCUGGGUAAGUCGGGGCCUAAGGCGAGGCAGAAAUGCGUAGUCGAUGGACAGCAGGUUGAGAUUCCUGCACCCGUAAUGAACAGAACUGUAGUGACACGGAAGGUAAGACAGAGCCGGGAAUGAGAAAACCGGUGCAAGCACAAUAGAUGUGUGGGAGGAAAAUCCCCCACAUAAGUCAAAGGCGUGACGCGGACCGAAAAAGAGUAGGGAAGCUGUUAAGCAAGCCGUCAAGAAAAGCUGCUAUUGUUUCAUUAUGGCCCGUACCGUAAACCGACACAGGUGGAUGGGGAGAGAAUCCUAAGGCCGGCGGAAGAAGUAUUGUUAAGGAACUCGGCAAAAUGACCCCGUAACUUCGGGAGAAGGGGUGCCUGCGAGAGCAGGCCGCAGAGAAGAGGCCCAAGCAACUGUUUAGCAAAACACAGGUCUAUGCAAAACCGAAAGGUGAGGUAUAUGGGCUGACGCCUGCCCGGUGCUGGAAGGUUAAGGGGAGUGGUCAGGAAACGAAGCCACGAACUUAAGCCCCAGUAAACGGCGGCCGUAACUAUAACGGUCCUAAGGUAGCGAAAUUCCUUGUCGGGUAAGUUCCGACCCGCACGAAAGGCGUAAUGAUUUGGGCGCUGUCUCGACAAUACAUCCGGUGAAAUUGAAGUGCCAGUGAAGAUGCUGGCUACCUGCGCCAGGACGGAAAGACCCCAUGGAGCUUUACUCCAGCUUGAUACUGGGACCCGGUAUUGCAUGUACAGGAUAGGUGGGAGGCUAGGGAAUGUGGACGCCAGUCUGCAUGGAGCCGCUGUUGGGAUACCACCCUUGUGGUGCUGGGUUUCUAACCAGAGGCCGUGAACCGGUCUGGGGACAAUGUCAGGUGGGGAGUUUGACUGGGGCGGUCGCCUCCGAAAGGGUAUCGGAGGCGCCCAAAGGUUCCCUCAGAAUGGUUGGAAACCAUUCGAAGAGUGCAAAGGCAGAAGGGAGCUUGACUGCGACACCGACGGGUGGAGCAGGUACGAAAGUAGGGCUUAGUGAUCCGGUGGAAUUUAAGUGGGAAUGCCAUCGCUCAACGGAUAAAAGCUACCCUGGGAUAACAGGCUGAUCACUCCCAAGAGUUCACAUCGACGGAGUGGUUUGGCACCUCGAUGUCGGCUCAUCGCAUCCUGGGGCUGAAGUCGGUCCCAAGGGUUGGGCUGUUCGCCCAUUAAAGCGGUACGCGAGCUGGGUUCAGAACGUCGUGAGACAGUUCGGUCCCUAUCCGGCGUGGGCGUAGGAUAUCUGAGAGGAGCUGUCCUUAGUACGAGAGGACCGGGAUGGACUGACCUCUGGUGUACCGGUUGGCGAUCAACGCCACGGCCGGGUAGCCAUGUCGGGACGGGAUAAACGCUGAAGGCAUCUAAGCGUGAAGCCCCCCCUCAAGAUGAGAUAUCCCAUCGUAAGAGUAAGACCCCUUGAAGACGACGAGGUUGAUAGGGCAGGGGUGGAAGUGCUGUAAGGCAUGGAGCUGACUGCUACUAAUCGGUCGAGGGCUUGCCAA